CAGGGUUUGGGAUUUAGACCCAAAUCCACCUAGUCCAGCAUCCACACAGUGUAAUGAAAAAGAGUUAGUAAAGAAAAAAAAAUACAAAAAUCCUGGUUAUUGCGCUGGAAAGAUAGCUCAUUGGUUAGAGGCUCUUGCUGCUAAACCUGAUGACCUGAGUUCAGUCUCCAGGAACUGCAUGGAGGAAAGACAGAGAGAACUGACCCCCACAACCUUCUACCUGAUAUCUACAUGCAUGCUGUGGCAGACACAUACCCCACCAUACACACACAGAGCACACAUACCACACCACAGCAUACCACACCAUACACACAUACAAUACACAAAGUGCGCAUAUACAACACAUCAUACCAUACACACACUACAAAUACCACAUGCACACCACACCACACACACACACACAUACACACACACACACACACUAUCCCUCACAUAUCGUACCAUAUACACACCACCCCUCAUAUACCACACACACACACACACAUACACAUACAUACCACCUCAUGCACACACAUACAUAUCAUACCAGACAAACAUACACACACCAUAUCAUGAACACACAUACACACCACACUACACACACAUAUACAAACAUACACCACACCACACACACCACACUACACACACAUAUACAAACAUACACCACAUCACACAUACAACAUACCCACACACAUACCACACCAUACAGACACACCACCAUACAAACACAUAGCCCACAUCAUGCACACACAUACACACCACACCACACACACCACACUAUACACACACAUACACCACAACACACAUACAACAUACCCACACACAUACCACACCAUAUACACACACACCACAUCAUGUACACACAUACACAUCACACUAUACAAAGAUACACACACACCACAUCAUGUGUACACAUAUACACCACACCAUACAAACACACACACACACACCACUAUACACACAUUUAGAAUUUAAAAAAUAAAAAAUAAAUUCAUCAUCCAGUGGACGACUUGACUACAGUAGUGGAUUUAUCACUGUGGCCCAGUUUCCUC
rnacentral:lncRNA from 1 species